GCCGUGAUAGCCUAGUGGUAGGGCACUACCUUUCACAUGUUAGGGUUAGCAAAGGUUACCACAUGUGUCGGGGAGAAACCCAUGGUUCGAUUCCUGGUCAUGGCA